CAACUUUUAUCAGAGAUAAAUCCUUAUUAUUGUAGAUAAUGCUAAAUAAUAACGAUAAAUCAUAUAAUUUUAAUUAACAAAAAGGUUAUUAUCUGACACACCCCGUCCCGAAGGAGGGCAUGCUGGCCGUCACAUGAGAGUGACGUAACCAUUUACACAGUUCGGAAGCUUUUAAAAUACAAUUAUUAAAAUGGAAACCCUCGAGGGUGAGUCAUACUUUUGUGAAUUCUGUCAGAAUACCGUUGGAUUCCUCGUGGCCACCAAAACUCUGCUAUCAAGAACCUGGAGGGGUGAAAAACAAAAUUGAGUGGGUCAGUAAAACCAAGCUUUUCAAAAACAUUUCGCCAAAAAUAAUUCUAACCCCUCACUGUAAAACCUGUAUACUUUUCCCAGAAAAUAGUAUAAUAACAUAAUACUUUUCAUAAAUCUCGAAUCAUCAAUUUUUCUUUAAAACCCGAAAGUAUGCCAUGAUUUAAUUUCGAAAACAAAAUAAAUGAUGCAUCAAUGUAACAGGUGAAAAGUUGAAUUAACCGGAGACCCUGCAGUUGGUCCUGUACGGUUAAUUCCAUAGCUCAACAUCCAAUCCAACCGGAGUCACCUCGAUGACCUGUACGGCACUACACUGCAGAUAAGUCGGAACUACCUGAAGUAGUCUGUACGACAUGGAUGGUGUAAUAAUACGCUCUAGUGCUUCUCUCAUCAAUCAUCUGUGCACAUAAUCUAAGGUCACCCACUAGUCGGAAUCACAUCUAGUAAUCUAUACGACUAGCAGCAUGUCGGAACCCUCACUUGGUCUGUACGACAUCCACCUACUUGGAUCCAAGACGAGCGUGCGGUGUGGUGAAUAAUAUAAGCACUAACACCAUGAUUGCAGGUUAUGAGCUAUCCACAAUAUACACAUCAACAAUGCACAUGAAUAAUAUAAAACUCACCUGAUACUUACCUGUGCGUCCACAGCACCAAUUCACAUAUAAAUAUGCAUCAUAUAUCAAUUCAUGCUUUUCAUAUACUUCUAUGCAUGGCAUUUCAAAUCAUACUUUUCAUAUAAAUUCAAUUUCUGGGAAAACUCAAUAGUAUAUAGGUAAUACGAAAACAAAACUGCCCACUCACCUGGAGUUCGCCCUACAACUCCCUAGCACAACACAUCAAGGCGUCAUGACGAUCGCCGCCUAGAACAAUAAUCAAAUCCAACCUCAGAAAUCAUAUCGAUAGGAUAUAACUUAUAUAAAACACAUCACUACGCAGUUCGAUCCGAAAGAUCUGCAACUCAGAUUUUAAAUCUAUAACUUCUAGAGAUCCACAAUAUAUCUCUAGGACAACAUCCUGAAAUUUCAUUACCAUCCAACGGUCGGAUCUCCGUCAAUUUCCAAAACUAAGUGACGGUUAACAUUUUAUUUUAUGAACUUACAACUCUAAUUCCGGAAGAUCCGUAACUCGGAUUCCCAAUCCGUAAGUUCCAAUAAUCCUCAAAUAUUACGUAUUACAACGUAUCAAAGUUUGGUGACGAUCCAACGGUCGGAUCGUCAAUUCACAUUUUCACCUAAAUGCGAAAACUAUAAAACGUUAUUUAAAGCACCUAACCAAUAAUCGUAAUAACUUUUUCAUACGGUGCUCAAUUUGGGUAUAUGAAUAUACCACAGUGAUCUACUCGACGUCACGAACGUCGACAUAUUUUAAGAUUAUUUGUUUGAUGUGCCACGCGCCCCCACGCGCCAGGACAAGCACGGGGACACGCGCCCCCACGCGCAUCAUCCCCAACCCUGGGUUCGCCGGACUGGUUUUUCCGGCGGCCGGUUUCCGGCCAAACUUCAAACGCCUUGUUCUCCUUCGUUUCUCAACCAUUUUAUUCGUAUAAUAUAUCAAAUUGAAGCCCCAAACAUGUAGAAUCACAAUACACUACUUUAAGGCUCUAAAAACAACUAAAUCUCACCGGAAAAAUCCAAGCAAAACCGGCCAAAGUCGAACUCGACGAUCCCGACGUCCAAACCUUCCAAACGAACGUCCCCGAGCUUCCUUAGGACCUCACUAAGCUCACUAUAAGCUUAGAAUUCCCUGAAAAUCAACAUUUCAUGUGUGCAUGAACAGUACUCAAAAACUGGGGUUCGGGUUUCAGGGGUUUUUCGAAGGUUUCACUUCCUAAAACUAGCAUCAAUGAACUCAGGACGUCGAAACGAUGAAGAUACAUACCUUAUUUGCCUCGAUCCGUCGAGUUUUUGGAGGGUUUGGGUGUGUGCCGUACGAUGGGUGUGUGUGUGGGUGCGAAGUCGAGAGAGACAGAGACAGGAAAAGCAUGGGGGAAGGAGAGGGAGAGAGAGAGGUCUUGUGU
rnacentral:lncRNA from 1 species